AUUGAACGCUGGCGGCAUGCCUUACACAUGCAAGUCGAACGGUAACAGGUCUUCGGAUGCUGACGAGUGGCGAACGGGUGAGUAAUACAUCGGAACGUGCCUAGUAGUGGGGGAUAACUACUCGAAAGAGUGGCUAAUACCGCAUGAGAUCUACGGAUGAAAGCAGGGGAUCGCAAGACCUUGUGCUACUAGAGCGGCCGAUGGCAGAUUAGGUAGUUGGUGGGAUAAAAGCUUACCAAGCCGACGAUCUGUAGCUGGUCUGAGAGGACGAUCAGCAACACUGGGACUGAGAAACGGCCCAGACUCCUACGGGAGGCAGCAGUGGGGAAUCUUGGACAAUGGGCGCAAGCCUGAUCCAGCAAUGCCGCGUGCAGGAUGAAGGCCUUCGGGUUGUAAACUGCUUUUGUACGGAACGAAAAGCCCCGGGUUAAUACCCUGGGGUCAUGACGGUGCCGUAAGAAUAAGCACCGGCUAACUACGUGCCAGCAGCCGCCGCCG
rnacentral:rRNA from 1 species